ensembl:lncRNA
GUAAGGCUGCCCACGCUAGGUCUGCCCGUGAGCCUCCUGACGCCGCCGUGCAGCCCGAGGCCUCAGCCUUAGCCUUACCUGGUUCUCACCUGUGAUCCAAUAGAACUAAUCGGGGACAGCUGUGAACUGUUCGGCGCUUAGAACACAGAAUCACACUCAAAACUUAAAAGCUUCUUUUUAACAGCAGUUUUAAUCAUAGUUUUCCCUGUUCUUUUCAAAAGCAGGGCCUAGUCAAGAUCUUGUAUUGCCAUGAAGAAGGUAUUUGGUACUACCUUCUCUGAAGGAAGACUUCCCUGGUGAUUCAGAAGGUAUGCAUGGACUGUUAACUAUGUUCCAGAUAGUUCGCCCUGAAGAAACAACAGGAACACAAUCCCUGCCCUGUGUUUCAAACUGAAAAAAAGACAAAGCUGCCUGUAGCGACCAUUCCCUCCAUGCCUUUACCAGACCAGAAGAGAGAAUUGCUGGGGCACAACAGCACUGGACUCUUGGGAAGUGUGCUUUGGGGGAGGCCCACCCAACAAU